rnacentral:rRNA from 1 species
CCAGACUCCUACGGGAGGCAGCAGUGGGGGAUAUUGCACAAUGGGGGAAACCCUGAUGCAGCGACGCCGCGUGGGCGAAGAAGUAUUUCGGUAUGUAAAGCCCUAUCAGCAGGGAAGAAGAAAUGACGGUACCUGAGUAAGAAGCACCGGCUAAAUACGUGCCAGCAGCCGCGGUAAUACGUAUGGGGCAAGCGUUAUCCGGAUUUACUGGGUGUAAAGGGAGCGUAGGCGGCCUGGCAAGCCUGAUGUGAAAUACCGGGGCCCAACCCCGGGGCUGCAUUGGGAACUGCCAGGCUGGAGUGCCGGAGAGGCAGGCGGAAUUCCUAGUGUAGCGGUGAAAUGCGUAGAUAUCAGGAGGAACACCGGCGGCGAAGGCGGCCUGCUGGACCGCGACUGACGUUGAGGCUCGAAAGCGUGGGGAGCAAACAGGAUUAGAUACCCGCGUAAG